GCAGUUCAAGAACUCGAGUUUCGAAGACGAGUGUUCGCGUGUCCCCCAAGGUGUUGAUGCAGUUCUACUCUCUUUAAGGUACAUUCAACCCAUUGACGUUUAAGGAGACUAUUUUCAACUCAUCCAUUGGUACACAGAACUUAAAGUUUCUUCCCACUCUGUUCUGCUUGGGAGAUCCGGUAUAGCCGGGAUUCGUUGUCGGAAUCAUCAACAGGGCUGCGCGCACGUCUCAGCGCCAUCUUGGGUCCUUGCUGAGCCUGAUCUCCCUCGGACGGAGCGAAGAACUGCUUAAGUAAGCGAUGAAGUAACGAGGCGCAGGUUGUCCUGGGAACCCAAUCAGGCAAAUCAGAACCUCAGAAACUGACUGCCCCGCAACAAUCUCAACAAAGGAUUCCGGAGUCUUUGUGAAACUAAAAGUGCGGCGUGGGACGCCAAGAGAAUCCAGCACCCGGAGACACAUCCAUGGGCCGCCUGUAUUGCAAAGAAGGCUAGCGGAUUCUACCAACUCUUAUACGCUGAGCUUUGAAAACAACAAGUGCUUCAGGACAGGUUCUACAAGCAGGAGUUAUGAUAUCGAGGAGACAGCAUUUCCACAUUGCCAGGAUCAUUGUAUUUAUUGCAUCCAACCCGAACAGCCAAAGGCAGCUGACUAAGAAGAAGCUGCCCGGCUCCCGUACGCUGAUUCCCUUCCACACUUCUCCCAGCUGGAAGUUUCAUAUCAUCGGCCUGUCCAAUUGAUUGUGUAAGGCAAUUAAAGGGAGCGUGUGGGGUGAGACGGUGUAGAGAACCAAUUACAGGUUGGUUUUAUGCUUGCCAUUCACUAUUAGGAGGUCAGACAUGACAGAUUCCGAAUAAACACCAAACAACUUCGGCAGGAAUGUUGGAGAUGGCCCAGAUGAUACCUUCAGUGGCUCUUCUGUUGAGGGAUUAUAGUAUCUCCUUUUUCAUUUGUUCAGGCUUUGUUUCAAUUAAAGGCAGGAGAAGCGAUGAAAAGCAGUUCAGUUCAGUUACUGAGCUGAAUAAAAGAUACAAGUGCCUCCAAGUUAAGCCUUUGAGAUAAAGGCUGAUGAUGGCGUCUAUGGUGUUGACCUGAAGGAAACAAAAAUACUUAUUAAUUUUGCUUCUAGAGUGGAAAAUAAUGGAGAAAAAAUGACCAAUGGAUUUAAAGAAAAAUAAAUGUUACCCUGACGUUGCACAAAGGAGGAUUUAUUACACGUCUCAGUGGGACGACAGGUGAUAAAAGAGGGAAAAAGAGUGUCAUUAAUCAUGAAUGAGAUCCACAGCGUGGAAUUGCGUCUGUGAGUCCAGCAAAAAAAAUAAAAGGAUGAUGCUCCUUGCAGACGUUUUCUGCCCACUGAAUUAUUAAUAAGCACCAAAAGAAAAGCGAGAGGCUUCUUAUUUCUGCAUUAAAGGAUCCAGGUUGGUG